GAUGAACGCUGGCGGCGUGCCUAAUACAUGCAAGUCGAGCGAACAGACGAGGAGCUUGCUCCUCUGACGUUAGCGGCGGACGGGUGAGUAACACGUGGAUAACCUACCUAUAAGACUGGGAUAACUUCGGGAAACCGGAGCUAAUACCGGAUAAUAUAUUGAACCGCAUGGUUCAAUAGUGAAAGACGGUUUUGCUGUCACUUAUCGAUGGAUCCGCGCCGCAUUAGCUAGUUGGUAAGGUAACGGCUUACCAAGGCAACGAUGCGUAGCCGACCUGAGAGGGUGAUCGGCCACACUGGAACUGAGACACGGUCCAGACUCCUGCGGGAGGCAGCAGUAGGGAAUCUUCCGCAAUGGGCGAAAGCCUGACGGAGCAACGCCGCGUGAGUGAUGAAGGUCUUCGGAUCGUAAAACUCUGUUAUUAGGGAAGAACAAAUGUGUAAGUAACUAUGCACGUCUUGACGGUACCUAAUCAGAAAGCCACGGCUAACUACGUG
rnacentral:rRNA from 1 species